ensembl:lncRNA
AUGAUAGAUGAGCCAGUGGAGGCAUACAGAACCCUGAGGCAGGUGGUGAAGGACUAUCUGGGAGUGGAGGAGCAGGGAGGAGAGGACCAGAGCACCACAGACACCCCCACAGAGUUGAAGAGGGACUCCCUAGUGGACGAGGCGCCCCCAGCCCCCUCCACCAGGCCAGAGACAGUCUUUAUGUCCUGCUCCGCUCCAGACAUGGACCCCUCAGACCACAACUGUAGGAAGUACUACAACAAGGUCCAGGCCCAGCUCACCCCACAGAAGACCUCAGCAGAGAUGGCCUCCAUCCACAGACGGCAGCAGCUGGUCAGAGAGGCUCUGAUGGGGAAGAGUCCCAAAGCCUACACCCAGCUCUUCAAGAGGUGUGUUCACACAGCUCCAUCACCAUUGGCCUUUCAGAUGCAGCGGGACCCCGCCCUCUCAUCCCCCAUGAUGCCUAGAGCCAGCCAUGACAGACAACACAACCACUCAGAGAAUAGCAGCUCUGAUGACUCCCGUGCUAGUUCUGGCCUGUCCAUUCCCAGCUCAGCAGGGGCCUUCUCAGAGACAGCAGGGCCAGCCGGGUGUUCAGACCUGGGCUUGGACACCACCGUGGAGCCCCUGGAUGUCUCCUCUCUGGGACACAACCUGGACAUGCUGAAAGAUCAAGUAGAAUCUGGCCACACUCCUGACGCCCCUCGCCCCGGCUCCGAGCUCCUCUCUCCGGGCGCCACCGCCACCAUGGCACGCCCAGGCUCCAACGCCAAACCCAUCCUGCCACCUAUCCUGUCGGGACGCAAAACCCCCGGACCCAGCCCUAAGCCCCAAACGCUGAGACAUGAGAGAGAGAGGGAGAUGAGGAGUGAAGAGGUACAGGAGAGAGGUAGAGGAGGAGUGAAGAGGUACAGGAGAGAGGAAGAGGAGGAGUGAAGAGGUACAGGAGAGAGGAAGAGGAGGAGUGAAGAGGUACAGGAGAGAGGGAGAGGAGGAGGUGUGAAGAGGUACAGGAGAGAGGAAGAGGAGGAGUGAAGAGAUACAGGAGAGGAAGAGGAGGAGUGAAGAGAUACAGGAGAGAGGAAGAGGAGGAGUGAAGAGAUACAGGAGAGAGAGAGAGAGAGAGGAGGUGUGAAGAGGUACAGGAGAGAGGUAGAGGAGGAGUGAAGAGGUACAUGAGAGAGGAAGAGGAGGAGUGAAGAGGUACAGGAGAGGAAGAGGAGUGUAGAGAUACAGGAGAGAGGAAGAGGAGGUACAGGAGAGAGGAAGAGGAGGUACAGGAGAGAGGAAGAGGAGGAGUGUAGGGGUACAGGAGAGAGGACGAGGAGGAGUGAAGAGGUACAGGAGAGAGGAAGAGGUACAGAAGAGAGGAAGAGGAGGAGUGAGGACGUACAGGAGAGAGGGAGGGACAAGUAGAUGCUCUUUCAAGAGUUGAAAGGUCACACAGAAUGAACAAUGAUGGACACAUUCACCUGUCUUUUCUGAAUAAAGACUUACCUGUGUGUUAGCUGGUCCAGAUGGAGUCAUUCAUUUACCAAUAAUAUAGUCAGAGGAUAGAAUAAUUAGAAUGUUAGGACAUUACACCAAAUAUAAUGAUUCCCUGCUUCAACUUGACUCAAACCGAAACAUACAUUAUAAUACAUUUAGUCAAUGACAUGUGCCAAACUCUUGACUUCUCAGUCUUGCUAUUGGGCUCCCGAGUGGCGCAGCGAUCACUGCAUCUCAGUGCUAGAGGCGUCACUACAGGCCCAGGUUCGAUUCCAGGCUUUAUCACAACCUGCCGUGAUGGGAGUCCCAUAGGGUGGCACACCAUUGGCCCAGCGUCGUUAGGGUUUGGCCGGGGUAGGCCAUCAUUUUAAGUAAGAAUUUGUUCUUAACUGUCUUGCCUAGUUAAAUGAAGGUUAAAUAAAUAAAAUAUUGACUAUACAAUCUAUUGUUGUUGCUAUAACCUGUACUGCAAUGCAGAAAGAUAUCCUGGACAGUCACUCAUUAAUAAAGAUGAUUACAGUAUAAUAAGAAAGAUAAUUGAGCCGUUCUUCAAUCCCUGCCAAAGGGUGAGUUAUCUCUGUGUUCUGUUGUAGGGCUGGGCUGGGUAUCUACUGUAUAAGGGUGAGUUAUCUGUGUGUUCUGUUGUAGGGCAGGGCUGGGUAUCUACUGUAUAAGGGUGAGUUAUCUGUGUGUUCUGUUGUAGGGCUGGGCUGGGUAUCUACUGUAUAAGGGUGAGUUAUCUGUGUGUUCUGUUGUAGGGCAGGGCUGGGUAUCUACUGUAUAAGGGUGAGUUAUCUGUGUUCUGUUGUAAGGCUGGGCUGGGUAUCUACUGUAUAAGGGUGAGUUAUCUGUGUGUUCUGUUGCAGGGCAGGGCUGGGUAUCUACUGUAUAAGGGUGAGUUAUCUGUGUGUUCUGUUGUAGGGCAGGGCUGGGUAUCUACUGUAUAUGGGUGAGUUAUCUGUGUGUUCUGUUGUAGGGCUGGGCUGGGUAUCUACUGUAUAAGGGUGAGUUAUCUGUGUGUUCUGUUGUAGGGCAGGGCUGGGUAUCUACUGUAUAAGGGUGAGUUAUCUGUGUGUUCUGUUGUAGGGCUGGGCUGGGUAUCUACUGUAUAAGGGUGAGUUAUCUGUGUGUUCUGUUGUAGGGCAGGGCUGGGUAUCUACUGUAUAAGGGUGAGUUAUCUGUGUGUUCUGUUGUAGGGCAGGGCUGGGUAUCUACUGUAUAAGGGUGAGUUAUCUGUGUGUUCUGUUGUAGGGCAGGGCUGGGUAUCUACUGUAUAAGGGUGAGUUAUCUGUGUGUUCUGUUGUAGGGCAGGGCUGGGUAUCUGCUGUAUAAGGGUGAGUUAUCUGUGUGUUCUGUUGUAGGGCUGGGCUGGGUAUCUAGUGUAUAACGGUGAGUUAUCUGUGUGUUCUGUUGUAGGGCAGGGCUGGGUAUCUACUGUAUAAGGGUGAGUUACCUGUGUUCUGUUGUAGGGCAGGGCUGGGUAUCUACUGUAUAAGGGUGAGUUAUCUGUGUGUUCUGUUGUAGGGCUGGGCUGGGUAUCUAGUGUAUAAGGGUGAGUUAUCUGUGUGUUCUGUUGUAGGGCAGGGCUGGGUAUCUACUGUAUAAGGGUGAGUUAUCUGUGUGUUCUGUUGUAGGGCAGGGCUGGGUAUCUACUGUAUAAGGGUGAGUUAUCUGUGUUCUGUUGUAGGGCAGGGCUGGGUAUCUAGUGUAUAAGGGUGAGUUAUCUGUGUGUUCUGUUGUAGGGCUGGGCUGGGUAUCUACUGUAUAAGGGUGAGUUAUCUGUGUGUUCUGUUGUAGGGCUGGGCUGGGUAUCUACUGUAUAAGGGUGAGUUAUCUGUGUGUUCUGUUGUAGGGCAGGGCUGGGUAUCUACUGUAUAGGGGUGAGUUAUCUGUGUGUUCUGUUGUAGGGCUGGGCUGGGUAUCUACUGUAUAAGGGUGAGUUAUCUGUGUGUUCUGUUGUAGGGCUGGGUAUCUACUGUAUAAGGGUGAGUUAUCUGUGUGUUCUGUUGUAGGGCUGGGUAUCUACUGUAUAAGGGUGAGUUAUCUGUGUGUUCUGUUGUAGGGCAGGGCUGGGUAUCUACUGUAUAAGGGUGAGUUAUCUGUGUGCUCUGUUGUAGGGCAGGGCUGGGUAUCUACUGUAUAAGGUUGAGUUAUCUGUGUUCUGUUGUAGGGCUGGGCUGGGUAUCUACUGUAUAAGGGUGAGUUAUCUGUGUGCUCUGUUGUAGGGCAGGGCUGGGUAUCUACUGUAUAAGGGUGAGUUAUCUGUGUUCUGUUGUAGGGCAGGGCUGGGUAUCUACUGUAUAAGGGUGAGUUAUCUGUGUGUUCUGUUGUAGGGCAGGGCUGGGUAUCUAGUGUAUAAGGGUGAGUUAUCUGUGUGUUCUGUUGUAGGGCAGGGCUGGGUAUCUACUGUAUAAGGGUGAGUUAUCUGUGUGUUCUGUUGUAGGGCAGGGCUGGGUAUCUACUGUAUAAGGGUGAGUUAUCUGUGUGUUCUGUUGUAGGGCUGGGUAUCUACUGUAUAAGGGUGAGUUAUCUGUGUGUUCUGUUGUAGGGCAGGGCUGGGUAUCUAGUGUAUAAGGGUGAGUUAUCUGUGUGUUCUGUUGUAGGGCAGGGCUGGGUAUCUACUGUAUAAGGGUGAGUUAUCUGUGUUCUGUUGUAGGGCUGGGCUGGGUAUCUACUGUAUAAGGGUGAGUUAUCUGUGUGUUCUGUUGUAGGGCAGGGCUGGGUAUCUACUGUAUAAGGGUGAGUUAUCUGUGUGUUCUGUUGUAGGGCAGGGCUGGGUAUCUACUGUAUAAGGGUGAGUUAUCUGUGUGUUCUGUUGUAGGGCUGGGUAUCUACUGUAUAAGGGUGAGUUAUCUGUGUGUUCUGUUGUAGGGCUGGGUAUCUACUGUAUAAGGGUGAGUUAUCUGUGUUCUGUUGCAGGGCUGGGUAUCUACUGUAUAAGGGUGAGUUAUCUGUGUGUUGUAGGGCUGGGCUGGGUAUCUACUGUAUAAGGGUGAGUUAUCUGUGUUCUGUUGUAGGGCAGGGCUGGGUAUCUACUGUAUAAGGGUGAGUUAUCUGUGUGUUCUGUUGUAGGGCUGGGCUGGGUAUCUACUGUAUAAGGGUGAGUUAUCUGUGUUCUGUUGUAGGGCAUGGCUGGGUAUCUACUGUAUAAGGGUGAGUUAUCUGUGUUCUGUUGCAGGGCUGGGUAUCUACUGUAUAAGGGUGAGUUAUCUGUGUGUUCUGUUGUAGGGCAGGGCUGGGUAUCUAGUGUAUAAGGGUGAGUUAUCUGUAUUCUGUUGUAGGGCUGGGUAUCUACUGUAUAAGGGUGAGUUAUCUGUGUUAUGUUGCAGGGCUGGGUAUCUACUGUAUAAGGGUGAGUUAUCUGUGUGUUCUGUUGUAGGGCAGGGCUGGGUAUCUACUGUAUAAGGGUGAGUUAUCUGUGUGUUCUGUUGUAGGGCUGGGCUGGGUAUCUACUGUAUAAGGGUGAGUUAUCUGUGUGUUCUGUUGUAGGGCUGGGCUGGGUAUCUACUGUAUAAGGGUGAGUUAUCUGUGUGUUCUGUUGCAGGGCUGGGCUGGGUAUCUACUGUAUAAGGGUGAGUUAUCUGUGUGUUCUGUUGUAGGGCAGGGCUGGGUAUCUACUGUAUAAGGGUGAGUUAUCUGUGUUCUGUUGUAGGGCAGGGCUGGGUAUCUACUGUAUAAGGGUGAGUUAUCUGUGUGUUCUGUUGUAGGGCAGGGCUGGGUAUCUACUCUAUAAGGGUGAGUUAUCUGUGUGUUCUGUUGUAGGGCAGGGCUGGGUAUCUACUGUAUAAGGGUGAGUUAUCUGUGUGUUCUGUUGUAGGGCUGGGCUGGGUAUCUACUGUAUAAGGGUGAGUUAUCUGUGUGUUCUGUUGUAGGGCAGGGCUGGGUAUCUACUGUAUAAGGGUGAGUUAUCUGUGUGUUCUGUUGUAGGGCAGGGCUGGGUAUCUAGUGUAUAAGGGUGAGUUAUCUGUGUGUUCUGUUGUAGGGCAGGGCUGGGUAUCUACUGUAUAAGGGUGAGUUAUCUGUGUGUUCUGUUGUAGGGCAGGGCUGGGUAUCUACUGUAUAAGGGUGAGUUAUCUGUGUGUUCUGUUGUAGGGCUGCGCUGGGUAU